rnacentral:rRNA from 1 species
GGCGAAAGGGUGAGUAAUAUAUGGACGACUUACCCUCGAGACGGGGAUAACAGCUCGAAAGGGCUGCUAAUACCCAAUGGUUCCGGUUGCUUCCGGGUUUCCGGAUAAAUGGUGCUUCCGCUCGAGGAGAGGUCCAUGUCCUAUCAGCUUUUUGGUGAGGUAAUGGCUCACCAAGGCUAUUACGGGUAGCCCGACUGAGAGGUUGGCCGGUCACACUGGGACUGAGACACUGCCCAGACUCCUACGGGAGGCUGCAGUCGAGAAUCUUCCGCAAUGGGUGAAAGCCUGACGGAGAGACGCCGCGUGCAGGAAGAAGGCCCUCGGGUUGUAAACUGCUGUCACACGUUAAGAAUUGUUGCGGUCUACCGUAACUUGACAAAAGCGUGAGAGGAAGUCACGGCUAACUUCGUGCCAGCAGCCGCGGUAAAACGAAGGUGGCUAGCGUUGUUCGGAAUUACUGGGCGUAAAGAGCACGUAGGUGGUUUCGUGUCUCGAUGGUGAAAUCCUGCAGCUCAACUGUAGAGCUCCCGUCGAAACUACGAGGCUAGAGGACAGGAGGGGAGAGUGGAAUUCCUAGUGUAGCCGUGAAAUGCGUAGAUAUUAGGAGGAACGCCGGUGGCGAAAGCGACUCU